GGGCCGGUAGCUCAGCUUGGCUUGAGCGUUCGACUGAUAAUCGAAAGGUCGUGAGUUCGAAUCUCACUCGGCCCA
rnacentral:tRNA from 1 species